AAACCAUGCUGUGGACACUUCCGCAAUAGGUCCUUGAAUCAUUCCCAUGUCUCAUACAAGGAUUCAUGCUCCAUCUGUACAAACGACGAUAUUUCAUUACGAAGCUU